GGAGGGUGCAAGCGUUAAUCGGAAUCACUGGGCGUAAAGCGCGCGUAGGUGGUUCGGUAAGUCAGGUGUGAAAGCCCCGGGCUCAACUUGGGAAUUGCAUUUGAAACUGCCGGACUAGAGUGUGGUAGAGGGAGAUGGAAUUCCGCGUGUAGCGGUGAGAUGCGUAGAUAUGCGGAGGAACACCAGUGGCGAAGGCGAUCUCCUGGACCAACACUGACACUGAGGUGCGAAAGCGUGGGGGGGAGCAAACAGGAUUAGAUACCCUGGUAGUCCACGCCGUAAACCGAUGGGUACUAGCCGUUGGGGGAGUUUGUCCUCUAGUGGCGCAGCUAACGCGUUAAGUACCCCGCCUGGGGAGUACGCCGCAAGGUUA
rnacentral:rRNA from 1 species